ACAUUGCUAAAGAUGAUCAUGAAGACAUUUAUCCAGCCUCUCCUACCUCCCCUUCGCCCAGCCCUUCAGAAGCUUAUGUCAAGUGUGACAGGCUAGGUGAUGAAUGGGUAGAAAGUUGACAGGUGACGACAGGCGGCUGAAGAUACAAAUGGUAUGGAGCGAAGGGAGCAUCACCUUUGGGUAUCCAUUAUUCUGGCGAUCACCUGGGGAUGGCCAAUUUGAAACCACCUUGGAGUAAUAGAUAUCUUGACAGGAUUUAUUAGAGUGAAGAUGAUAUUCAAGGAAGGCACUGUUGGUGCUGCUGUCAUUAGCUUUGUGGCCAGGAAGGAAUCUUCAUCCACUAGUAGACUAUUGCCCUCAUAGAACAAUAUGGGAACAGAGAUAAAAAGACCCGCUGAUAAAAGAAGAAAAAUAAUUGCCAAAAUUAAAGGAAGUAUUAAGAGUUGCCACCCAAAUUCUGUAUCCAGUGAAAAUGUCUUUCAAGAAUGAUGGCAAAAUCAAGACCGUUUCAGUUGAAGGAAAACUAAGGCAAUUUAUUGUCAAUAGCUAUAUCUUAAAGAAUGGCUAAAGAAAGUUCUAAAAAUAGAAUGAAAUAAUGAGAGAUGGAAUCUUAAAGUGUUAGCUAUGAGUGAAGAUGAAAAGAAAUAGUAAACAUAGAAGUUAAAUAUAGUAAGCAAUAUUUUUUGACUUCUUUAAAAUGUGUUUGACAGUUUAAAGCAAAAUAAUAAAAAUAAUAUUUUUGUUUUA